GGCCUCCCUCAGACACAUGGAUUGGAAAACCUUGGAAACAAUUAAUAUAAGAGAGGGUGCAGUGGCGGCCUUCAUCUGCACAGCAGGGGGUCCUCCUCCCAAGACACCUCCAGGACCUGGUGAGUGAUUUCUGUGUAGAACUAAAGGCAGUCGUCCCCAAAACCCCAGCUCUGAAGUCGAGCAAAGGGAAGCCGUUAGGGAAAUACUGGGACUCCUCCCUAGGGAAACAGCAUCGGGAAAGGGAGAGUUGGAGAGAAAAACUUACUGCAUUCUAGGGGUUGCUCCAUCACAUACCAGUUCCCAUCAACACUGCGGGCUUCCAGAGAACUUCAGAUGGAAAUUCUCCACAAAUUCAUGUAUGGAUCUUCCUCGGAAUAUAUCAAUGAGAAAUUCAUGGAAAUCUUCUGCAGAACAGCAAGGAGUCCUCCAGUCUAAAAUAAC
rnacentral:lncRNA from 1 species